UACGAAGGGGGCUAGCGUUGUUCGGAAUUACUGGGCGUAAAGCGCACGUAGGCGGAUUGUUAAGUCGGGGGUGAAAUCCUGAGGCUCAACCUCAGAACUGCCUUCGAUACUGGCAAUCUCGAGUCCGGAAGAGGUUGGUGGAACAGCUAGUGUAGAGGUGAAAUUCGUAGAUAUCAGGAGGAACACCAGUGGCGAAGGCGGCUUUCUGGACGAUUACUGACGCUGAGACGCGAAAGCGUGGGGAGCAAACAGG
rnacentral:rRNA from 1 species